AAAGUAAGUAAUAAAUAAUAUUAUAUAACGCUCACCAAUACACUAAACAUAUAUAGAAUAUUAAAUACGUAUUUAGAAUAUUCGGAUUGGUACGAAUGAACUGUCAUGCGCAUGUACGAUUGUACGCAUCUCGCUAUUUUGCACGCCAGUGCACGCGUCUGCACGCGCAACGCCGCAACAUGAUGAUGUGCGCGAGUUAUAUUAAAAGCAAGAGAGGCAGAAACACUAUUUGAGCGUAAAGUAGAAGAGUAGACGAGUAAGGAAAGAAAGAUGUAAAAGAGAGAUCAACCUCACAGCUUGGAAUUUACAGUGUGCCGAACAGAAUAUGUGGACCUUGAAGGUAUCAAAUAACAUAAUUUUACUAAAAAAGUUAUAGGAUGAAGUGAACAAUUUAUUUUUUGUGUGAGAAAGUAUCUAUUACAAUCUAACUUGUUCCGAGAAAACCUUUACAAAAGAUUUAAUAAAGAACAAGCAAUUUGAUGAGAUUAUCAUAUCAUUAUUAUCAUAUUUAUUAUUCGAAUUUUAAAGAGAAACAGUAAGAAAUUUUAUUAAUACAUUAUUAAAAAAUUGUUGGCUGUUACACCAAAAUUCUCUUUCUUGUAAGCUGAUGUAUGCUAUUGAUAAAAAAUUCACCAAAGUUCAUCCCUGUUUUAGCUCAGCGAACCAUUAUAUGUAUAGAGAAUUGACAGAGCAAUUCAUAUCAAAAGGAUUAUCUAAAGGUGUACUUCCUAGUUCUUCAAGUAUGUUAUUUUAUGGCAUUAUCUUAUGGCAGGCUAGAUAGUUGUUACUGAAAUAAAUAAAAAGCGUGAAAUCUGAUCUGAAACAAUUACAACAAAGUAUACAGACUAAUAUCACUCAACUAACCUGCCGAUGAUGUGGUCGCAGGCUGUAAUAUAGGAAAUAUGUUUAUGAAUGUCAAGGAUCAUCUAAUAAUUUAAGAAUGACCAGUGGAUGUGCGUAUGAUUAUCUGGAAAUGUGCACAAAAGUGGAACUUGAGAAGGAACAUUUGAUUAUUCCCAUCUCUAAUUUGCUGGGUUUUAUUCUAAAAACAUAUAAUGGCUAUAGUUUAU